GGGGGGCUAGUCUAAAGUAAGACAGUUAAUUUCGGCUUAACUAAUUAUGGUUUAACCCCAUAGUCCCUCU
rnacentral:tRNA from 1 species